rnacentral:rRNA from 1 species
AGUGAACGCUGGCGGUAGGCCUAACACAUGCAAGUCGAACGGCAGCACAGUAAGAGCUUGCUCUUACGGGUGGCGAGUGGCGGACGGGUGAGGAAUACAUCGGAAUCUACUUUUUCGUGGGGGAUAACGUAGGGAAACUUACGCUAAUACCGCAUACGACCUACGGGUGAAAGCAGGGGAUCUUCGGACCUUGCGCGAUUGAAUGAGCCGCUGUCGGAUUAGCUAGUUGGCGGGGUAAAGGCCCACCAAGGCGACGAUCCGUAGCUGGUCUGAGAGGAUGAUCAGCCACACUGGAACUGAGACACGGUCCAGACUCCUACGGGAGGCAGCAGUGGGGAAUAUUGGACAAUGGGCGCAAGCCUGAUCCAGCCAUACCGCGUGGGUGAAGAAGGCCUUCGGGUUGUAAAGCCCUUUUGCUGGGAAAGAAAAGCAGCAGGUUAAUACCCCGCUGUUCUGACGGUACCCAAAGAAUAAGCACCGGCUAACUUCGUG